CAGCAAUCCGGCGAGGCAAAGAACAAGAGCAAUCCGGGGUCGGGGAGCGGGAGGAGGGAGCGCGGCUCGGCCGGUGGGUUCCGGACCCCCUGGGAAAACUCAGGUUAACACAGGAAGGAUGCGGGAACUCCGCGCCGAGGGAUCCAGAUCUGAACUCAAACCCAAAACCACAGCCCAGGAGCUGCGAGGCUGAGAGACACCCGCUGCACCAUAAUACCACUCCGCAGAGUUCUGCUCUCCUGUGACCCAUGAGUCAGAGACUGAGAACAUGGGAUCCUGAGGCACAGGAGCCUCAGCUGACUGUGAAGCAGGCAGGCAGUGCUGCCACUUUGUUGCUUGAAUCCCCACAUUCUUCUUCUAUUUACUCAUUCAGCUGAUGCUUUUCUCCAAAACCAACUUCCAAGAUUCAACUACUUACACUUACUCACCCAUUUAUACCUAUAUAAAUCCAAUGGAGUAAUUUCUACAGUUAGUACCUUGCUCAAGGGUACUACAGCUAGAGAUGGGAUUCAAACCUGCAGCCUUUGAGUUCAACAGCAGCAGCUUUAACCACUACCCUACCAACUGGCCUGCUCUUAAUGUUGGCAGAUUGGACCACUUUCACCACAUACAGGAAAAAGUUCACAUUUCCCCAAAAAUUUGACCCAGGGAUCCAUGUGGGAUGUGUACAAACAGCAAAUGUUUUUCGAAAAGAAUUUCACUCGCAGAGGUUAUUCCAACAUGCGGUGGAGAAUCACAGCAACUGCUCCUUCGUCGCACCACUUUUCCCUUUUUUUUAAAACGUCCAUGAGCUCACCUUACAUACCUAAUUCAAAAUUCAAAGCUGUGUCUGCAAAACAACAUAAAAUGCAUUUAAAAGGAGAGGGUAACAACACUAACACGAGUCGCCAAACAGCACCUUGGGGUUUUACACAAUUACGGGUCUUCCGAGAUGCAGCAAGUGGACGGCAUUUCAAUUUAGGUUAAAAAAAAAACCUGGAAGGAAAGAAAACAAAUAGAUGUAUGUCAUUGUCGCUGUGUUUAUAACAAAAAGGUUGGGGUUUAAAGUGAUCCCAAAAAAGACUAGUUUUAGUCUACCCUGCAGUCUUGUAAAAUGUAUAUGAUGCAGUCGAGCGAAUGAAAUGAAAGCAAGUCUGAGCCGAGCCUUUUGCCUGGAGAAUAUGAUGGGAAUUUGUUUAUAUUUUUCUACUCCAUCUCGUCAAGGUAGCUCUCAAAACCAGACUUUAGCACUGCUGCAGCCGAAAUUUUACAAGGGAAACCUCUGUCCUCGAAGGCGCCGGGAAAGCGGUGAGCGCUGCUUCUCGAAAAAACCACCAAUUUGUCCCAAAAAAAAAAACACACCCUGAUAUUUGUUUCUUCCCCCCCUCGUUCGCUGCCUGCAUGAAACGUUCUCUGUUUUCUAAAGGUUUGUCGUGCCCGUGAGCUCCGCGAGACUCCGCAGCCGUGCUUCGCUGCGUUUACUGCUAAUAUUGUUUUGCCUUUAUUUCUGCAGAUUUACGCAGCCCCUUACGCCGAGGAGCGCGGAUGUUAUCGAGUACGUCUCUUACAAGCCUACAAAUCCAAACCUUUCACCCUGAAGCGCAGAGAUUCUCUUAGUCAACAGAAGCAACGUGGGGAAGACAUUGAUCUACAUCUUUAAAGCUUGUAAUCCUUAUACGAGAUAGUCUCCUUGACGUCUCAACGGCCCAACCUGUCUCCCACACACGCCCGGUCGUACCCGUGGCUCAUUGCGAAGCGUCAGAAACAACAGCGCUGUAGGCGUAUCGAACAUUUUAGGGCCUCGUGGAAUAGGAGGGUGCUUUGUGAUUCA